GGGUCAGCAGGUUGGUCGUGCCACCGGUACGUACUGGUCUCACUGAUUCCUCCUUCCUGAAGAACCGUAAUGCCAUUAAUUUGGUGUUGCGGGGAAACAGGACUGUUACUUUGAAAAAAUUAGAGUGUUUAAAACAAGCUAACGCUUGAAUACAUUAGCAUGGAAUAAUGAAAUAGGACGAUCGAUCCUAUUUUGUUGGUUUCUAGGAUUGACGUA
rnacentral:rRNA from 1 species